AAGCAGCAACAGAGAAUGGGGCGUUUUUAGCUCUCAAACACACUGGCUUCCUCUCCCACAGGAAAACAUCUCAUGCCGACAGAGGAGAGAAAUAUUUACCCCCGUUUUUGAGGGAAAGUCAAGAAAAUGCAAGAAGGAACAGCUCAUAUGAGUGGACCCCGCUCCUGGAGGCUCUGGAGGAGUCUCAGCAGUAAAGGGUUGGUCGGGAGCUCAUGCACUGAUCCUGGAACAGCAGAUCUGCACUCCGGACAGCACAUCUGAUAAGGGUGUGAAGCCUCGUGCUGCUGGAGGCAUGGCAUACAGAAGGUGUGCUGGCACGAUCUGACGAGCCGCGGAGUGACGUCACGUCGUCUACCUGCGACACGAAAACAGCUUCGCAGCGAAACCGAGGUUAUAGCCUUGGUAUAAAACUGAACAUUGUACUCAUUUACAGUUAAAUAUUCACAUACCUGCUGA